CCAGGGUUACUUCGAAGUACAUGAUUGUACAUUUCUUCAGAACUGUCUACGUCUGAAUGUUGCUACACAGAGAGACAGUAUGAUAACGAGACAAAAAAAUAACAGGAAGUGCAUCUGCUAAUAGCAGGCAAAAAAACAACAGGCAGAUAACCUACAGAUAAUGCAAGACAACAUACUUGAGCUGAUAAAUACCACAUUUUUU